AACGCUGGCGGCGUGUCUAACACAUGCAAGUCGAACGUGAAAAGGGGCAACCCUGAGUAAAGUGGCGUACGGGUGAGUAAUAUAUAGAUAAUCUACCCUAGAAUCUGGAAUAACCUGCCGAAAGGCGGGCUAAUACUGGAUAGAGCGAUGGAAUCCGUAAUUGGGUUUUUCGGGAAAGGGAGCUCGUAAGAGCCUUCGUUCUAGGAUGAGUCUAUAUCUCAUUAGCUAGUUGGUGGGGUAAUGGCCUACCAAGGCUUUGAUGGGUAGCUGGUCUGAGAGGAUGAUCAGCCACACUGGAACUGAAACACGGUCCAGACUCCUACGGGAGGCAGCAGUGGGGAAUCUUGCGCAAUGGACGAAAGUCUGACGCAGCCACGCCGCGUGAGUGAAGAAGGCCUUCGGGUUGUAAAGCUCUGUCGCUCGGGACGAAAAAUUUUAGAGUGAAUAGCUCUAAGAUCUGACGGUACCGAGAGAGGAAGCACCGGCUAACUCCGUGCCAGCAGCCGCGGUAAUACGGAGGGUGCAAGCGUUGCUCGGAAUUAUUGGGCGUAAAGGGUAGGUACGUGGUCUUAUUUGUCUGCGGUGAAAUCCUUGAGCUUAACUUAAGAAGUGCCCCAGAAACGGUAAGA
rnacentral:rRNA from 1 species